rnacentral:misc_RNA from 1 species
AAUUUCCCGAGGCAAAGAUUACGUCAUUUCUAGUCCUAGAGGAGGCACCCCCAAUACUACUUAUUGCUAUUGGCCUAGAUAAUGGUUGCAUAUACUGCAUCAAAGGGGACAUUGCGCGUGAACGUAUCAAUCGUUUCAAGCUUCAAGUAGAUAUCUCAGACAAGAACCAAACAUCUAUCACGGGGCUAGGGUUCAGAGUUGAUGGUCAAGCUCUUCAGUUAUUUUCUGUAACUCCUGAUUCAGUGAGUUUAUUCAGCCUGCAGAGUCAGCCACCAAAGGGGCAAACUCUGGAUCAGAUUGGAUGUGGUGUG